CCAAGGAGGGGGUGCCCCCUGCAAGAGGCCCAUCCAUUACCAUCACAACAGCUGAUGUCACAGACCCUACAAAGCAGCUGGGGCCCCAAAUGCAGGGUAACCCUAACCCCACCAGCGAUUGAAACAGAUAGAGGGUAGCUCUCCCACACAAUGCCUGGCCCUCACUCCUCUCCUCCUCCUCCUUGCACUUCCUCAAGAGCCUUUGUCUUCUGGUCCCUAGGGCCUGUAGCCUCUCUCAUUCCCGGCAAACUCUGUCCAUUAAAUUCAAAAUGAGGCCUCUGGGGAAAGGGUUUGGCACUUUCUUUCCCUGCCUCCUCUUAUCUCCCACCAGCUAUUCCCCAUCUGCAUCUGCCUGGCAGGCAGAUAAGAAGCCCAGCUGUGAGAAAAGGGGCAAGGUGGUGACUGCUUCACAUCCUUCCCUGGGCUGUUUUGAUUUGCUUUGUUUUUCUGCCUCGGAGCACCCUACAGGGUUGCUGGUCCCUCUCUGGGCAAGGCCUUGGGCCGGAAGUCAUAACAGUCAGUGCUGAGGCUGUGGGAAAUGUUCUGGGGUGAGUCAGGUUGUUUGACUGUGAUGGCCCAAGUCUCUGUAAUGAACUCUGUCAUCUCCCCAACCAGCUGGAAGCGUCCAUAUUUUCAGGAGUGCAGAGUCCUCCUGUUCCCCCUCAGGACCCCAGCAUGCUGAGAGAAAGCCAGGAGCAGCGGUUUCACCGAUCUUUAGGUGUGACAUGGGGUUCAGGGGGAGGCUGCUGGAGAAGGUGGGUGGCAGACCAGCAGGGCUUGAAAAAUCUGUCAGAGCUCUAUGAGGCAAGGAGAAGAGUCACUGCUUAGAGCUUCUGGCUUUCCCCCACGGGGAGAGCUACAUGUCCGAAGGGAUUUGGUUAUUAUUCAGUACUUUAGUCAUGAAUCUUUCAUAGACAUUGAUGAAAGCCAUGAACUUUCUUUCCAGAAAAAAAUGGGUAGCAUGCACACAUGCAUGCAAACACACACACACACACACACACACAUCUGCGAGGGUUCUUGGACACCUGGUUAAGAACUCCCAAUAGAAGAAGGUAUAAGUUUUGGCACCAAAGCGAGAGUAGAGAAGGUUCCAUGUAGUGUUGAGGAUAGGCUGUCCUCAGAGCCAGGCGGCUGGCUGAUUUGAAAGACGUGUCCUUCUGUUUCAUAUACAGGUGCUUGGGGGGCAUGGCUAUCACCAACCCUGAAGUGGACUUGGGGAGAGGAUGUCAGGAGGCAGAGAAGCCCUGGACACUUUUGUCCAGCUCUCAGCCAUGAGGCAUGCUGUGGAAUUGGAAGGCUCUCGCCUGCUCUAGUCCUCAGUCCAGCUGAGUGGGGAUGCAAUGUCAGCCAUCCAGUUCACCAACCACAGCUGCACUGUGCAAAAGGGACGGAAGAACAAAAUACCCAUGAGACAACACCGUGGCUUUUGAAACAGGUAUGUAGGCUUUCUUGUUUAAUAGCAGUUAAAAGAGGAAAAUGUACAAGAGGGAUAAACAUGCUCUUUUCACAGAGGAGCUUUCCCAUCUGUAUCAGUAGCUUUACAAGUAAGUUUGAGAGAAAAAAGUUCCCUUUAGAGUUAAAAAUGGACUUUCCUAAUUUUCUCUAUAAGUGUGCAACUAUCUGUGCAAAAUAAAAACGCCAUUUCCAACACCUUUGUGAAAAGUAAUUGUGAAUGCAGGCAAAAAAAAGAAGAAGAAGAAGAGGCAAUUGCAGUCAAGAGAGGAGUCCUGGGAGAAGGGAGGCUAAGGUAGGGGAAUUUCUGUAGCAGUUCCUAGAGAGUGUGCUCAGAGGCCUCAUGAGGAAGGUCAUGGCCAAAGCCAAUCUUGGGAGAUAAAAGGCCGUGGGUCUGGGACUUGCUGAGUAAGCACUUGCCAAGUGUACAGUAAGGCUAGACUGACUUGGAGGACUGGUAUGCAAUGAGAACAUUGGGCAAUGCACCCUGGAAGCUGUACCUUCCCUUUGCCAACAGGAUCUCACUUCCUGGUUCGCAUUUUCAGGUCCUGUUCCUCCCUAGCUGCAACAGCUUCAUUUAUAGCCUGCUCAAAGAGAUUUUCCCCAUGAAUGUUAAAAUGAUGCAAGCAGCCUCUAUUACUACUGAAACCUAAUAGAGUCCCAAACUGCACUGUCCCUUCAGGAAUAUAGACCUGGUUUCCCCAAGAACUUGGCCAAGGGUUCAUCCUGACCAGAAGCCAUAUAGGCUUCUAGCCAUCUGUGUGCUUGCCCUCUUAUUGAGGCCCUCCAUGGUACUUCUACAUCUCUAGGAAUUUGAGGCCAUAUCUGAGGAGUCUGAUGGGUCUGGGCACACAUGCUUUGCACAAGUCCUCUCAAGGGUUCGCCCAGCUACAGGUUAUAGACAAAACUAAAAACAUCCCACUUUUCUACUUCAAAAACUUGACAUUGCUGGUCCCUGUUUUUACCUUCCCUGGCCUACCAAGAGUAUGUCUCUACAUACAACUCAGUAGCUGCAUGUUGCUUUUUGUUAGAUAAGGGUGAAGGCAGACUAAGAAUGGAGAGAAGAUAUAUCAAAGGGUCCAUCUUUAUAUCUUGAGCUCGAAUAAGCUUUUUCUUUCAUGGGA